rnacentral:rRNA from 1 species
CAAUAGCGUAUAUUUAAGUUGUUGCAGUUAAAAAGCUCGUAGUUGGAUUUUGGGUCGGGGGCACCGGUCCGCCGUUCCGGUGUGCACUGGUGGCCCCUUCCUUUCUGCCGGGGACGUGCGUCGCACUUAAUUGGGUGGCGUUCGGAGUCGGCGUUGUUACUUUGAAAAAAUUAGAGUGUUCAAAGCAAGCCAUCGCUCUGAAUACAUUAGCAUGGAAUAACAUGAUAGGACUCCGGUCUUAUUUUGUUGGUUUCCGAGACUGGAGUAAUGAUUAAGAGGGACAGUCGGGGGCAUCCGUAUUUCAUUGUCCGAGGUGAAAUUCUUGGAUUUAUGAAAGACGAACUUCUGCGAAAGCAUUUGCCAAGGAUGUUUUCAUUAA